UACGGAGGGAGCAAGCGUUACUCGGAAUUAUUGGGCGUAAAGGGCGCGUAGGCGAUUUGGCAAGUCUUGUGUGAAAGCCCACAGCUUAACUGUGGAAGUGCACAAGAUACUGCUGAAUUUGAGUUCAGGAGAGGAAGGCAGAAUUCCUGGUGUAGCGGUGAAAUGCGUAGAUAUCAGGAGGAAUACCAGUGGCGAAGGCGGCCUUCUGGACUGACACUGACGCUGAGGCGCGAAAGCUAGGGGAGCAAACGGG
rnacentral:rRNA from 1 species